AAAUUGAAGAGUUUGAUCAUGGCUCAGAUUGAACGCUGGCGGCAGGCCUAACACAUGCAAGUCGAACGGUAACAGGAAGCAGCUUGCUGCUUCGCUGACGAGUGGCGGACGGGUGAGUAAUGUCUGGGAAACUGCCUGAUGGAGGGGGAUAACUACUGGAAACGGUAGCUAAUACCGCAUAACGUCGCAAGACCAAAGAGGGGGACCUUCGGGCCUCUUGCCAUCGGAUGUGCCCAGAUGGGAUUAGCUUGUUGGUGGGGUAACGGCUCACCAAGGCGACGAUCCCUAGCUGGUCUGAGAGGAUGACCAGCCACACUGGAACUGAGACACGGUCCAGACUCCUACGGGAGGCAGCAGUGGGGAAUAUUGCACAAUGGGCGCAAGCCUGAUGCAGCCAUGCCGCGUGUAUGAAGAAGGCCUUCGGGUUGUAAAGUACUUUCAGCGGGGAGGAAGGGAGUAAAGUUAAUACCUUUGCUCAUUGACGUUACCCGCAGAAGAAGCACCGGCUAACUCCGUGCCAGCAGCCGCGGUAAUACGGAGGGUGCAAGCGUUAAUCGGAAUUACUGGGCGUAAAGCGCACGCAGGCGGUUUGUUAAGUCAGAUGUGAAAUCCCCGGGCUCAACCUGGGAACUGCAUCUGAUACUGGCAAGCUUGAGUCUCGUAGAGGGGGGUAGAAUUCCAGGUGUAGCGGUGAAAUGCGUAGAGAUCUGGAGGAAUACCGGUGGCGAAGGCGGCCCCCUGGACGAAGACUGACGCUCAGGUGCGAAAGCGUGGGGAGCAAACAGGAUUAGAUACCCUGGUAGUCCACGCCGUAAACGAUGUCGACUUGGAGGUUGUGCCCUUGAGGCGUGGCUUCCGGAGCUAACGCGUUAAGUCGACCGCCUGGGGAGUACGGCCGCAAGGUUAAAACUCAAAUGAAUUGACGGGGGCCCGCACAAGCGGUGGAGCAUGUGGUUUAAUUCGAUGCAACGCGAAGAACCUUACCUGGUCUUGACAUCCACGGAAGUUUUCAGAGAUGAGAAUGUGCCUUCGGGAACCGUGAGACAGGUGCUGCAUGGCUGUCGUCAGCUCGUGUUGUGAAAUGUUGGGUUAAGUCCCGCAACGAGCGCAACCCUUAUCCUUUGUUGCCAGCGGUCCGGCCGGGAACUCAAAGGAGACUGCCAGUGAUAAACUGGAGGAAGGUGGGGAUGACGUCAAGUCAUCAUGGCCCUUACGACCAGGGCUACACACGUGCUACAAUGGCGCAUACAAAGAGAAGCGACCUCGCGAGAGCAAGCGGACCUCAUAAAGUGCGUCGUAGUCCGGAUUGGAGUCUGCAACUCGACUCCAUGAAGUCGGAAUCGCUAGUAAUCGUGGAUCAGAAUGCCACGGUGAAUACGUUCCCGGGCCUUGUACACACCGCCCGUCACACCAUGGGAGUGGGUUGCAAAAGAAGUAGGUAGCUUAACCUUCUGGAGGGCGCUUACCACUUUGUGAUUCAUGACUGGGGUGAAGUCGUAACAAGGUAACCGUAGGGGAACCUGCGGUUGGAUCACCUCCUUA
rnacentral:rRNA from 1 species